UUGUUGCGUCCGGUAGUUGGUUUGCUCUUAAAAUUUUCGUCACAUGGUAUUUUCUUAGCAACCAAGCACCAUUUUCUUCUUUAAAUUUUCAAGUAAAACACCAUUUUUUCUCUUAAGCAUUGGGUCGGUUAUUGAGUGGACCACUCAAGAGUCACAAAGGAUAGCAAGAUCGAAGUGCGAAGUUGAAAAAUUCGGAAGAGCAUCGACUAGCAAAGAUAAAGGCAAGGAGAAGGUUACAUAGUCAAUGUUGUGGUGAACAAGAUGAGUACUUUGUGUACUGCACUUGAAAGCGAGGUCACGCAGGACUGGAAGACAAGUAAGACGUGCGGAUUUGAAGAAAUACAUAUGUGCAUCUAGGGUUAGGUUAAGUAUAUACUAUAUAGAUAUAGGCGUCUAAAGUUUGUUAUAUAAUAUAAAUAUGCGCAAUGUUAUAUAUAUUAUAUAAGUGUUAUGGGACUUAAUUUAUAUAAUAUAUAAUCAUGAUGUAAGAAGGGUACUGCUAUAUACAAUAAAUGCAUGCGCAGGUUUUAUUUAUAAUAUAA